UACGUAGGGUGCGAGCGUUGUCCGGAAUUACUGGGCGUAAAGAGCUCGUAGGUGGUUUGUCGCGUUGUCCGUUAAAUUCCCUGGCUUAACUGGGGGCGUGCGGGCGAUACGGGCAGACUGGAGUACUGCAGGGGAGACUGGAAUUCCUGGUGUAGCGGUGGAAUGCGCAGAUAUCAGGAGGAACACCGGUGGCGAAGGCGGGUCUCUGGGCAGUAACUGACGCUGAGGAGCGAAAGCGUGGGGAGCGAACAGG
rnacentral:rRNA from 1 species